rnacentral:rRNA from 1 species
GUGCCAGCAGCCGCGGUAAUACGGGGGGAGCAAGCGUUGUCCGGAUUUAUUGGGCGUAAAGAGCGUGUAGGCGGCUUGGAAGGUCAGCUGUGAAAACUCGAGGCUCAACCUCGAGACGUCGGUGGAAACCGUUUGGCUAGAGUCCGGAAGAGGAGAGUGGAAUUCCCGGUGUAGCGGUGAAAUGCGCAGAUAUCGGGAAGAACACCCGUGGCGAAGGCAGCUCUCUGGGACGGUACUGACGCUGAGACGCGAAAGCGUGGGGAGCGAACAGGAUUAGAUACCCUCGUAGUCC